GACGAACGCUGGCGGCGCGCCUAAUGCAUGCAAGUCGAGCGACGCAUAUCGGAGGAGUAAUCCACUGGUAUGACGGAGCGGCGAACGGGUGAGUAUCACGUGAGAAACCUGCCCCGAAGACCGGGAUAGCCCGGGGAAACCCGGAUUAAUACCGGAUACCCUCUACAGAUCGCAUGGUCUGUUGAGGAAAGGCCUUUGCGCUUCGGGAUGGUCUCGCGGCCUAUCAGCUAGUUGGUGAGGUAACGGCUCACCAAGGCAUCGACGGGUAGCUGGUCUGAGAGGACGAUCAGCCACACUGGGACUGAGACACGGCCCAGACUCCUACGGGAGGCAGCAGCAGGGAAUCUUGUCCAAUGGGCGCAAGCCUGAGACAGCGACGCCGCGUGGGGGAUGAAGGCCUUCGGGUUGUAAACCCCUUUCAGGAGGGACGAAAUUGACGGUACCUCCAGAAGAAGCCCCGGCCAACUACGUG
rnacentral:rRNA from 1 species